UGGGGAAUUUUGGACAAUGGGGGAAACCCUGAUCCAGCCAUCCCGCGUGUGCGAUGAAGGCCUUCGGGUUGUAAAGCACUUUUGGCAGGAAAGAAACGUCGCGGGUUAAUACCCCGCGAAACUGACGGUACCUGCAGAAUAAGCACCGGCUAACUACGUGCCAGCAGCCGCGGUAAUACGUAGGGUGCAAGCGUUAAUCGGAAUUACUGGGCGUAAAGCGUGCGCAGGCGGUUCGGAAAGAAAGAUGUGAAAUCCCAGAGCUUAACUUUGGAACUGCAUUUUUAACUACCGGGCUAGAGUGUGUCAGAGGGAGGUGGAAUUCCGCGUGUAGCAGUGAAAUGCGUAGAUAUGCGGAGGAACACCGAUGGCGAAGGCAGCCUCCUGGGAUAACACUGACGCUCAUGCACGAAAGCGUGGGGAGCAAACAGGAUUAGAUACCCUGGUAGUCCACGCCCUAAACGAUGUCAACUAGCUGUUGGGGCCUUCGGGCCUUGGUAGCGCAGCUAACGCGUGAAGUUGACCGCCUGGGGAGUACGGUCGCAAGAUUAAAACUCAAAGGAAUUGACGGGGUC
rnacentral:rRNA from 1 species